GACGAACCACACAACCGUUAUUCGGAAUUACUGGGCUUAAAGGGUGCGUAGGCGGCGUGGAAAGUUGGGUGUGAAAUCCCUCAGCUUAACUGAGGAACAGCGCCCAAAACUACCAUGCUCGAGGGAGAUAGAGGAAUGCGGAACUUAGGGUGGAGCGGUGAAAUGCGUUGAUAUCCUAGGGAACACCGGUGGCGAAAGCGGCAUUCUGGAUCUCUUCUGACGCUGAGGCACGAAAGCUAGGGUAGCAAACGGG
rnacentral:rRNA from 1 species